UAACCUGCCCAAGAGAUCGGGAUAACACCUGGAAACAGAUGCUAAUACCGGAUAAUAACAGAUGAUGCCUAUCAACUGUUUAAAAGAUGGUUCUGCUAUCACUCUUGGAUGGACCUGCGGUGCAUUAGCUAGUUGGUAGGGUAACGGCCUACCAAGGCGAUGAUGCAUAGCCGAGUUGAGAGACUGAUCGGCCACAUUGGGACUGAGACACGGCCCAAACUCCGUACGGGAGGCAGCAGGU
rnacentral:rRNA from 1 species